UACAGAGGUCUCAAGCGUUGUUCGGAUUCAUUGGGCGUAAAGGGUGCGUAGGCGGCGCGGUAAGUCGGGUGUGAAAUCUCGGAGCUUAACUCCGAAACUGCAUUCGAUACUGCCGUGCUUGAGGACUGGAGAGGAGACUGGAAUUUACGGUGUAGCGGUGAAAUGCGUAGAUAUCGGAAGGAACACCGGUGGCGAAAGCGGCGCGCUGGACCUCUUCUGACGCUGAGGCGCGAAAGCCAGGGGAGCAAACGGG
rnacentral:rRNA from 1 species